GAUGAACGCUGGCGGCGUGCCUAAUACAUGCAAGUCGAGCGAACAGAUAAGGAGCUUGCUCCUUUGACGUUAGCGGCGGACGGGUGAGUAACACGUGGGUAACCUACCUAUAAGACUGGAAUAACUCCGGGAAACCGGGGCUAAUGCCGGAUAACAUUUAGAACCGCAUGGUUCUAAAGUGAAAGAUGGUUUUGCUAUCACUUAUAGAUGGACCCGCGCCGUAUUAGCUAGUUGGUAAGGUAACGGCUUACCAAGGCAACGAUACGUAGCCGACCUGAGAGGGUGAUCGGCCACACUGGAACUGAGACACGGUCCAGACUCCUACGGGAGGCAGCAGUAGGGAAUCUUCCGCAAUGGGCGAAAGCCUGACGGAGCAACGCCGCGUGAGUGAUGAAGGUCUUCGGAUCGUAAAACUCUGUUAUUAGGGAAGAACAAAUGUGUAAGUAACUAUGCACGUCUUGACGGUACCUAAUCAGAAAGCCACGGCUAACUACGUG
rnacentral:rRNA from 1 species